CCUACGGGUGGCAGCAGUGGGGAAUAUUGCGCAAUGGGCGAAAGCCUGACGCAGCGACGCCGCGUGAAGGAUGACGGUCUUCGGAUUGUAAACCUCUGUUAGCAGGGAAGAACGGUCACUGUGCUAAUCAGCAGUGAAUUGACGUUAUCUGCAAAGGAAGCACCGGUUAACUCCGUGCCCGCAGCCGCUGUAAUACGUAGGGUGCGUGCGUUGAUCGGAAUUACUGAGCGGAAGGCGCUCGUAGUCGGUAUGUCAAGUCAUGGGUGAAAUCCUCGCGCUCAACGUGGGAACUGCCUUUGAAACUGGCAAACUUGAGUGUAUGAGAGGAUAGUGGAAUUCCAGGUGUAGGGGUGAAAUGCGUAGAUAUCUGGAGGAACAUCAGUGGCGAAGGCGACUAUCUGGCACAUAACUGACGCUGAGGAGCGAAAGCGUGGGUAGCAAACAGGAUUAGAUACCCGAGUAGUC
rnacentral:rRNA from 1 species